ensembl:lincRNA
GCUGACCUCAGAGCAGGGAGGAUCUUGCUGGCUUUGCUCCAUCUACCCCCAUGGGGGGCACAGGUUCAGCUCACGGGGUGGCAGCUUCUGAACCACUCACUUACAACGCUCCUGAAUACCACUAACUAAUAAGCCAGGCACCCGGCUUACACUGGUGCACGACAUUCCUCAUGCAGAAGACCCGCUUUUUGAACUGCUCUUUGCUACCCAGCAUUUACUUUUCUCGCUCCUCUAAUCAUCCUGGGUCAAGGACCUAAGCAGAGUUAUUCCUCUAGACAUAAAGUUAGAAAACUGGUGAGUGGUACUGGGACUCACCAGAUGACAGAGCGCACACAUGAGUCUGGGCACGGCUCAGAGGGCAUCUCCAAGCCCCAGAUCAGGGUUCCAGUUAUUAGAUCUACCUUCAGCUUGUUCUCUCCUGAAUUUUCUAUCUUCAUAUUUUCCAAAACAUUUUCUCCAUUCUGUGUUACAAACAACAUUUAAAUGUUCGAAUAAUUGAGAAAUUGUUUUCCAUUUUUGCUUGUACAUCUGAUGUACAUCUGGAUGGGUGGCACUGGGCACACUUAAAAUAAAGGGAAAUAAAUAGCUCUGAGAUGCAACAGCAGAUGCAUUUGCUCAAAAGCGAACGGCAAAGAUCUGCACUUCAUUUUUACAGUAUUUCAUCAGACAUAUGGUACGCCAGGCUAGGUGAUUUUUAUUUAAAAAGUCACUUGUGCUGAAUUCAGAAUUUAAAGGCAUACACAGACAGUCAUUCUGCUCCCCGUGGGCACAAGGGCAUUCUUAUUCCUGGGGAUGUCAUUACUGAUGAUCGCAAGGCGAACUGAAGUUUUCAGAGGGAGUGCCAGUUUCCAACGUGAAGCUCAGCCAUGCGAGGAGAAAACCAGAGGUUCCAGCUGUCUCCGUUUAAGGCUCAAUCCUCAAAGCUUCGGGCUGCAGUUCUGGCCUCCUCAACAGAUCGGCAGGUAUUCAAGCGAGCUCGUUUCACGGAAGCAAGAUGGCAGGCACUGGCACCACAGCCAGAAGAAACUGAAGAUGGUGACGUCAUGGUACCUGAAUCACCGAUCAGCAAGCCAUCCAAUGGAGGAUGAUGAUCUACCUCUCUUGAUCUCACAGUCAAGAGUUUUCCAUCUCCACGAUAACUCAACUUCAGUUCAACCCCAGUACAGGCUGGCUGAGCACCACUAGGAACAGGUCAACCCCCUCACACAGACCAAGAAAGAACAAAAAAGCCUAGCUGGAUGUCCUUAACCUCCUCUGACUCCCAUUUUCAACUGGAAGCUUUGGUCCCCUUGACAUCUGAGCAACAUAGAAGCCACUACAACUUCAAAGUCCUUCCCUGUCAUCUCCAAUCUGAAGGGAGUCCAUAAUCUGAAGGAAACCCUCUGGUUGGGUAGACUUGAAUUCAUUUCCGUCAAUUUAUAGUUCACUUUUGGAAACCAGAGGAGGCCAAAUCCUAGGAGACCUGGCUCCUCAGGGUUCCACAGAGUGGUCCAUUUAUUUCUGGUUGCAAAUGGAGAGGCAUAGAUCUUCCCUACCCCCUCAGCAGUGGGGCCUUUUGUAAUUACGCUCACUCUCUUAUCAAGCUGUUCUGACUGCUCAUGUAUAUGGAUGGCCCUUGUUCCAGUGUCCAAGUAGCAUCGUACAACAUUCAGAACUUCUCGGCCUGGCUCCUUGUUCUAUAAUUUUUUGAAAAAUCACAGAGGGAAGGAAGCAGAGGAGAGGUUUAAUUUGGAAGUCAAGUUGCGCUCCUUUCACGGACUAUACGGCAAAUAGUUACUUCAGUAGUGUGGGUCUUGCUGAAAACUCUUGAACCAUAAACACUGUGCACUGUUUCUCCUCAGUCUCUCUUUCUAGCCUAUACCAACUACUACUAUCACACUGACUGGAGACUUUGCCAGGGUCAGAGGUUCUCAAGGUUUAAGAUUAAUCAGAAUCACCAGGGGAAAAUGUUAGCAAUGCUGAUUUCCAGGUCUUGUGCUCUAGGACUUGAUUUGGGAGAUACAAGAUUUAGGAGAUAGAAGAAAUCUAAAUUUUUAGCUACAGAUCAAUUGGUUCUGAAGCAGGAAGGCUAAGGUACAUUGGCUCACUGGCCCAGGUCAAAGCUGACACUUUCUAAAUCCAUUUUUAACAUUGGCAGGUGGAUUUUUUCUUUUGUUUCAUACCAAACAUUCAAGAUUAAAUGCUGUCUCCCAGCCUUUAAAAUAUCUUAAUACCUUGUUGAGGUAAACAGUAUGUUUUUGAUUUGUAGAAUUGUUCUUCUUCAAUUCAG